UAGGGAAUCUUCGGCAAUGGGGGGAACCCUGACCGAGCAACGCCGCGUGAGUGAAGAAGGUUUUCGGAUCGUAAAGCUCUGUUGUUAAGGAAGAACGAGUGUGAGAAUGGAAAGUUCAUGCUGUGACGGUACUUAACCAGAAAGGGACGGCUAACUACGUGCCAGCAGCCGCGGUAAUACGUAGGUCCCGAGCGUUGUCCGGAUUUAUUGGGCGUAAAGCGAGCGCAGGCGGUUAGAAAAGUCUGAAGUGAAAGGCGGUGGCUCAACCAUUGUAGGCUUUGGAAGCUGUUUAACUUGAGUGCAGAAGGGGAGAGUGGAAUUCCAUGUGUAGCGGUAAAAUGCGUAGAUAUAUGGAGGAACACCGGUGGCGGAAGCGGCUCUCGGGUCUGUAACUGACGCUGAGGCUCGAAAGCGUGGGGAGCGAACAGG
rnacentral:rRNA from 1 species